GCAUCGAUGAAGAACGCAGCGAAAUGCGAUAAGUAGUGUGAAUUGCAGAAUUCAGUGAAUCAUCGAAUCUUUGAACGCACAUUGCGCCCCUUGGUAUUCCAUGGGGCAUGCCUGUUCGAGCGUCAUUUGUACCUUCAAGCUCUGCUUGGUGUUGGGUGUUUGUCUCGCCUCUGCGCGUAGACUCGCCUCAAAACAAUUGGCAGCCGGCGUAUUGAUUUCGGAGCGCAGUACAUCUCGCACUUUGCAUUCAGAACGACGACGUCCAAAAGUACAUUUUUACACUCUUGACCUCGGAUCAGGUAGGGAUACCCGCUGAACUUAAGCAUAUCAAUAAGCGGAGGA
rnacentral:rRNA from 1 species